ensembl:lncRNA
UCUCUCUCUCUCUCUCUCUCUCUUUCUCUUUUAGGCACCUGGAGAAUAACAGAAUAGAGCUGAUAUCUAAGAGAGCGUUCUCUGGCCUCUUCUCUCUGAGGAAACUGUUUUUGAGUCAGAAUAGAAUCUCGUCUCUGAAAGCUGGAAUUUUCACUGACCUCAACAGUCUGGAGUGGUUGAUCCUGGACGAGAACAGAAUCUCCUCUCUGCGUCAGAAGUCUUUUGAGGGC